rfam:Daphnia pulex DAPPTscaffold_829_Cont11184, whole genome shotgun sequence.
UGCCUGUUAGCUCAGUUGGUUAGAGCGCCGUGCUAAUAUCGCGGAGGUCAUGAGUUCAAUCCUCUUACGGGCCA